UACAGAGGGUGCGAGCGUUAAUCGGAAUUACUGGGCGUAAAGCGUGCGUAGACGGUUUUGUAAGUCGGAUGUGAAAUCCCCGGGCUCAACCUGGGAAUUGCAUUCGAGACUGCAAGGCUUGGGUGCGGAAGAGGGAAGCGGAAUUUCCGGUGUAGCGGUGAAAUGCGCAGAUAUCGGGAAGAACACCCGUGGCGAAGGCGGCACUCUGGGACGGUACUGACGCUGAGACGCGAAAGCGUGGGGAGCGAACAGG
rnacentral:rRNA from 1 species